AAUGAACGUUGGCGGCGUGGAUUAGGCAUGCAAGUCGUGCGAUAACCGUAGCAAUACGGCGAAAGCGGCGAAAGGGAGAGUAAUGCGUGGAUACCUACCCCCAGGUCUAGGAUAGCCGCGGGAAACUGCGGGUAAUACUGGAUGACGUCUCCGGACCAAAGGUGUGAUUCCGCCCGGGGAUGGGUCCGCGUCCUAUUAGCUUGUUGGCAGGGUAAUGGCCUACCAAGGCAAAGAUGGGUACGGGGUGUGAGAGCAUGCCCCCGCUCACUGGGACUGAGACACUGCCCAGACACCUACGGGUGGCUGCAGUCGAGGAUCUUCGGCAAUGGGCGCAAGCCUGACCGAGCGACGCCGCGUGCGGGAUGAAGGCCUUCGGGUUGUAAACCGCUGUCAGAGGGGAGGAAAUGCCGGUGGGUUCUCCCAUCGGUUUGACCUAUCCUCAGAGGAAGGACGGGCUAAGUUCGUGCCAGCCGCCGCGGUAAAAC
rnacentral:rRNA from 1 species